UGAUUGUCCAAACGCAAUUCUUGCCGGGCGUUUGUGCGCAGCGCAAGGGUUGUGCAUUGGACAUCAAC
rnacentral:pre_miRNA from 1 species